rnacentral:misc_RNA from 1 species
GGUUUUAGUUUUUUUAUUAUUAUUAUUUUAUAGUUUCGCAAGUCAAUUAUAGUGUCAAAGGAAAAAUCAGAGGAUAAAAAGGUCAUUAAGACUGUCUAGUCAUCCGUUGAAUUAGACGCUAAUCGAAAAUGUCAUUUUCGUAAAUCCAGUCAAAAUGAAGAUUACUUAUCUAAUCGCAGUCGUCGUGUAUACUCACAUUAAGGAGCUUGCAGUAACUGUACGGCCUUUAAGUACGAUUGUGCGAGUCAUUUCAGAUCCGUGGAUUCUGCCUCACUCUUUCUCAGGUCUCAUUUUUGUGGCCAUUUGAAACCAAAAAAAGGAAAUCACAGGCCAAAGUAUCAGAGCUAAUCCCUCUAAUCAAGCUAACCCUCAGUCUCCUUUUUCCCCAGAUCUCAGAUCUUGAUAUAUCCAUAGGUCUCUUUUACUCAGAUCCGCACCUCGGCUUCAGGGACAAACUGUAUCACUCUAAGUUU